GAUGAAGAACGUAGCGAAAUGCGAUAACUAAUGUGAAUUGCAGAAUUCCGUGAAUCAUCGAAUCUUUGAACGCACAUUGCGCCCGCCAGUAUUCUGGCGGGCAUGCCUGUUCGAGCGUCAUUACAACCCUCAGGCCCCCGGGCCUGGCGUUGGGGAUCGGCAGAAGCCCCCUGUGGGCACACGCCGUCCCUCAAAUACAGUGGCGGUCCCGCCGCAGCUUCCAUUGCGUAGUAGCUAACACCUCGCAACUGGAGAGCGGCGCGGCCAUGCCGUAAAACACCCAACUUCUGAAUGUUGACCUCGAAUCAGGUAGGAAUACCCGCUGAACUUAAGCAUAUCAAUAAGCGGAGGA
rnacentral:misc_RNA from 1 species